rnacentral:rRNA from 1 species
UGGGGAAUAUUGGACAAUGGGCGAAAGCCUGAUCCAGCCAUGCCGCGUGUGUGAAGAAGGUCUUCGGAUUGUAAAGCACUUUAAGUUGGGAGGAAGGGCAGUAAGCGAAUACCUUGCUGUUUUGACGUUACCGACAGAAUAAGCACCGGCUAACUCUGUGCCAGCAGCCGCGGUAAUACAGAGGGUGCAAGCGUUAAUCGGAAUUACUGGGCGUAAAGCGCGCGUAGGUGGUUCGUUAAGUUGAAUGUGAAAACCCCGGGCUCAACCUGGGAACUGCAUCCGAAACUGGCGAGCUAGAGUAGGGCAGAGGGUGGUGGAAUUUCCUGUGUAGCGGUGAAAUGCGUAGGUAUAAGAAAGAACACCAGUGGCGAAGGCGACCACCUGGGAUAAUACUGACACUGAAGUGCGAAAGCGUGGGGAGCAAACAGG